AAUAGAAAUAACUGACCCCAAAAUCAGAAUACUUCGAAAUCAUGUCCUGCCAGAGUAUUUACUCCCUACAAGUGGGGAAAGUCAAAUUUAAAAGUUAGCAUUCUAUGUAUACUUCUCUAUACCUUGCUAUUUUUCCUAAGCUAUCUUAAGGCUCUUUCCUAUCUGUUCUUAAAGAGCUUCCUCAUUCUUGGUUGGCUUCUGUACAGUGGUUCAUUGUGGACAUGCCCUGACCAGUUCCCUGUUGAUAGACGUGGGCUGUUUCCAAUGUUUUAUUGAUUAUACAAACAAUUCUUCAGUGAAUGACCUUUUCACAAUACAUGUGUGGGUAUAU
rnacentral:lncRNA from 10 species